UGAUGUAUCUCCGUGUUUUUGUUUAUUUAAAUGAGCAAAGACUGUCGGUGUCGAGGUUGUCGAUGACAAAACGGUUCAAUAGUGACCGUCGUGCUUCGUGUUCACAUUCAAGCUGUGUGACGGAGCUACUGUUCAUAGGUCAUGACGAAGCGGACGUCGGUGACACGGUGAAGUGAAAUCCGGUUUUGUCAUCCACUAAGAUGUUCAGGCUGGAAUGAAGUUCCAGGGGGAUUGAAAGAGGAUGAUUUUGGAGAGAGCUGGAACAGAACACCUUCACCUCACCUUCACCUUCUUCUGCCGCUUAUCCGGGGUCGGGUUGCGGAGGCAUCAUUCGGAGCAAGUGGCUUAUCGUCCCGCCUCCGAGCUGCCGUGACCAAACUUGGGGAGGAAAAGUGAUGAUGAUGGCGGUUUUCACUCCAAAAAACAUUGCUGCCGUCACUGAGGAAUGUAGAGGAUUCCCAGACUUGUCCAUAUGAUGGUGCCCCAAACAGCAUCAGCUUGAACUCCUUUCCAAACCAACAGGCAAAGCUACAAAUUCCUCACAGAAGCAGCAACAAGUACGUUUUUAUGCUUUUAUUCACCAUUUGAACAUGUUUUCUAACUGUAUGUUCACACCAAACGCUACAACUCACACCUCCAGCCAUUCAACUGACCACUCAGUUGCAUUAAAAAAAGUAGGUAAAUCUGCUGGGGGAUGAGUCCGAAGCGCGUGAAACGUCAACAUGGUACAGUAGUACUGCUACUGUUUCUUUUCAUCUUGGUGAUUUUCCCUCUCAGUGUAUGUCACCAUAAAUCUGGAGAGAUUGUGUCGCCUCCUCUACUCCCAUGGUGAUGUGAUGUAUUUCAGUCAUUCAUGGUCUGAGGUGACAUUUGACUUGCGAUGUCCGCACUCCCUCACUGUCAGUCGAGCAGGUUAGACUAUAAAAGGGGGUACAAUACGCCAUGACACAGCUCAGUCAAGCCCUUUGGUUGCUUGUUGUUUGGUUGCCAAGCAUUCACUGCAAUAUUGCAGGCCUAGUAUUUCAGUAACUAUGAUACACUAUCACAGGAUCUUGGUGAAACUGUUUUUGCUAUUGGUAUGUAGGGUCCGCCUCGAUGGUCUCCUGUCGCUAACAGCACAGGGAAGUUGGACCUCUGCAGCUUUGGUGUAUCGUGUGCUCUCUUACUUCAACAGAAAUCAUGAAGCUGUUGCGCCACAAAAUAUCCCAUUACCAUGUUUCCACUUCAAACAGUUCAAACCUUUUUCAUAUGAGAGAGAUCAAACAAGUUGUGACCACAUUCGUUUGCAACUCGCAUCUCGAAAAACGAAUGCAUCUUGAGAUCCUAGUGUGGUUUUGAAGCCUCUCCAAAUGUCUUUCUCCGUCGCUAGACGUUAAGCAAAUUAUGGAAGGUUGCGAGUGUGGACCUGCUUCUUGUCGUGUUAGGGAUGAUUAUGUAAUUGUAUACAACCUGAGCCACGAGAGAUUAAUUUACAGCUUUAUUGUUAAUGUUUUUCUGGGACUGUGACCCUGUAGCUCAGUGACUUCUCCGGCAUGACGCCUUUUGAAUGUCACUGCAUGCAUUUUAUCAACUUAUUUUGUCAAUAAAAUAAAGAAAAUAGCUCGCAUGCUGCCAUCUGCACUUGCAAGAACAUGAACAAAGUUCAAUGAAAAAUGGAGUGAGCAUUGAGGGCAGAUGUUUGACUCAUAAUCUCCUGGAAAAGCAGCUACUGUAAACCUUUACCACCAAGAAAUAAUUUCAAUGGUUGUUAUCAUCAUCUUUUUGGAGUCAUUCUUAACUGAGAGUUUUCCUGAGGGAGUUUAUUGUAGUUGUGUUUGUUUGUCUGGUGAAGUUAUGUAACCUUCCAGAAUAUUAUGAUAUUAAAUUUUUUAUCGUAAGUGCUGUCAUUUAUGUGAAGUUUCCCUCUGGUUCUGGGUUAUCUUUGUUGUUUGGGCUACCAAUCCAGCGCGGUGGUUUUUCUGACUCACUCGAUGUUGACAGUCUGACUUUUGUUUGGGAAUGACUUUUUCAACAAGCUGCAGGUGCUUGCAAUCGUGUUUAGCUUCUGGAAGAUAGCGCUGGAGCUGGGAGGAGAACCAAAGUCAGGAGAAGGAUAUUUUCUCUCCGGCGGGGACAGUGCGACAUAAUCAGAGGCGAAACUACUGGACCGGGGCGCAAUGUUGAUCAGAAGAUAGCUGCGCCAUUUGAGCGCUCGCUAUCCUAAAAUCUUUUGUUGACAAGAUGGUGAUGAUUUUACGUCGGGACAGCUUUCACUGACUGCACGUGCGCGUUGUAUAUUUGAAUCUGUCUGUACGGUAUAUGUAUAAACUUGUAAAACUAAAUCAGCUCCUGUCGAUCUGUGGAAAUACUGUUCAGAGAGAGGAAGUCAGAGCAUCUGAGAAGUAUGUGCAAGCGGGAUGGAAGGAUGGAGGACGGUGGAGCUGUAGGAGUGACUGUGUGUGUCAACCUGGACAUCUGGGACUAGCACUUCUUCACACGGGGUUCAAGAUCCUCCAUGGUCCAUGAUGUUUGCUGAUGAAGUAGUGAUUUGCACUGAGAAUUUAUAAAAGUAAAGCAUCAUUUAAAUAGCACUUUUUAGGGGUUCAGUGAGUGAUAACUGAGGAAAUGUUAGCAGGAAAAAGUGUUUAGUAGUAGUUUUUAGCAGGGAUUUAAAAGUGGUGUCGCUCAUUGUGUUUGGGAUCUCCUCUGGCAGACUGUUCCAGAGUGGGGGACCCCUGACAAAAAAGGCUCUGUCACCUCUAGACUUUGGGACAACUAGCAAAGAACCACCACAGGAUCUUAGAAGAAGAAAGGUGGAAGACGUGUGUGAUUGGGAGGAGAGGAAAGUUUAUCCAGUUUAUCCAAUGAAAGUGAGGAGGGAGGUGAAGCGGAGAGUGCAAAUCAUUUUUCCACCUCCUCUCCACGCUGCAAGAAGCCAGUUGAGGUAGCCCUCUUUUGAAGAUUCUGCCUGCUGAAUGAGAUGUUGUGGGCAUUUAUAAAACAGAGAAAGCCCGACUGCCGACGUUAAACAUGUCUGUAUCUUAAGGUUUUCUUCAGUGCCGUCACUAGGUUUUGUCUCGCAGCUGUGAAAUGUAAAGAAAUGUGGAGAAAAGGACUUCUUUGACCAGAAGUAAUGGAAAUGAAUGGGAAAACAUUCAUAAAUCCAAGUGAUUUUCAAGUCCUCUACCUGCCAAGGUAGACGCUGGUGGGGGAUUUGGUAAUUGGAUUUGUUUGAGUCAACCCAAAAAAACGUCUGCUUGCCGGAAUACUUUUUCCAGAAUACAAGUCCAGAGGUUUUUGUGAGGUUUUUGUACUACUUUAUUGUCCACCUUUGCUACCAACUUUAAUACUGGGGUUCCUGUCGAGUGCCUGUUGAGAAGAGAGGAUCUUGUCGAAACCCAAAUAAGUUCUGAAAAUUCCCCCCCUGAAUAUAUAGGUGUUUUUGGGGACAUGACCGACAUCUGUGGCAACAGACUGAUGCUGGGGGAAUUUGAGAAGAAGUCUUUUGAAAAAAUAUGUCUGGAAUGUCUUUGACAGCGAGACUUUCAUAACUUAAAAGUUGCUGUAAUCCGGCUGUUUAUCAGCAGAGGAGACGUGAACCCUCUUGACCUCGGAGAUAGUGCUCGAGGGUUGAGUAGUUUAGAUUUGUAAUUAGCAUACUCAUGUCAGCUCAAGGUGAAGCUGCGGCGUUUAAACGUCAACAACAACCGAUGUGAGUGGGGUUGUGGAGUUGGUGUCAAUAUUUGAAGCAUUGAAAGUGAAAACAAAACAAUAGCGUUGCCUUGGUUCUGGAUCAGUCCUUGAGGUGUUUCUCACCUCAGCACAGAGUUGCUCGAGUUCAUUAAAAGUCAUCUCCACAGCGGCGUGUUGUCUUCCACAUCUCAGCUCGCCCCUCCUGUGUAGCCUGCAGCCUCGCCACCAUGGACUUCCAACCAAAAUGUUGCGUUUCAAAACGCAUCGACCGUAAUUGCUCGCCAAAUGAGUCCUCACAUCAAAGGGCUCGCGUGUUUACUUGCCAUCCACCUCACACCUGCAGACACACGCUCUCGUCUCUCCUGUCACAUCCUGUAUUUUUGGAACCGUCUUCCACAGCUCUUCCUGUGUCGUGAUCGUAGCGCCCUCAUUUCCCGCCUCUUGAUGGGAUUCACUUUCUGAACUUGUCCUGAGCUGCACUGAUCAGGGGGGAAACGAAACCCACUGGAAUUUAAACGUCGUGGUCACUCGCUGCUGCGCUGAAGCAAGAUGGAGUUGGGUUUGAUCCAACAAAGUUCCCUGUAGAUCUGUAUGCGCUCCAGCCCCCGUGGCCUUGUGAAGGGAGUCAGCAGCAGAUUAUGACAGAAUGAACGAGUGCGACAAUGUUUGGGAAAUUGUGCUUCCAGAUAAGAUACUGAAGUUUAUAUUUGAAUAGAUUUCAUGCAGAAUUAGGCUCUGAAAUUGAUAAACAGUUUAUUGUGGUCUUUGUUGCAUGUUCCUGUUUGUGUGUCUUGUGUUGUGGUUUAGCAGAAACUUUUAUCAAAAGUGCAGUAACCAUCAUGGACAGUCAAAAACACAGCAUCAAAUAUGAGCUAGAAACCUCAUGUUAGCUUCAUUGCACAAAGUAAGGAUUAUACUGUACUACAAAUAGAUCCCCAGUGCCAAAUGUCCAUUGUGUUUCAUUGCUGCUUAAAUCCAGAUUCAAGUUGAGAGAACCUGAACCUGACGUUAUUAGGCGUCCAUUGAAAAGACUCAACACUACUUUAGCAUGUUCUAGGUAGAUGUCAUUUAUUCAUCUGACAGUUAUUAAAUCAUAUCAACGAAAGGUGAAGCCAAGCAUCAACAGAUCAAUCUCUCAAGAGGGCAACACAUGCACACUCUGAAGGUGUAACAUAUAGACAGUUGUCAAGGUGACACAAGAGUCAGCCUCCUGUAUUGCAUGAUGAGUCGGCUUUCAAUUUAAUCAAAUGUAUCACACGAUAUUUCCUGAUGCAAGGGCUUCACCAGUCUGUCCGACAGGGAAUAAGUGGGGUCGGGAUCAGUGUUAAGACUAGGGAUGCUCCGAGGAUUGGUGCCGAUUGAGAUUCAGGUGGCUAACGAACGCUGCACCCGACUCCAAAACAGCGACGGAUCCGGUCGUUUCCGUCUCCAUGUAAACGUCGCCUGAGAAAGGCUGGUCAUCAAGCUAGCUAUUAAUAGUUAUUUCUUGGGCAAUUAGUUUAGCAUUCCGAAUGUCACAUCAUCAAAGGUUCACUGUAUUAAAAAAAUACGUUUAAAACUGCGAUCGUGAACCAAUGUCCACCACACUCUCCACGACUGCCACACACCGGUGUCGGCUGUCAAAACGCAGUGGAGCUGGAGAGCGUGGCGCGCAUCACGGUCUCGACAUCUUCAUGAAUGCAGGUCCAAUGCAACGAGUGUGUAACGUGUUUAGCAAAUUUAUCGUGAGAUGCGGAAUUGCCAUUGUGGAGAUUGUGUUUGGCGGUAUAUCGUGUACGAUAACUUAUCACCCAUCCCUAAUAUGGAGGAGCAUCAGAAGCCUUGUAAUACUGAGAAGUUACAGCAUGAUCAUCACCCUCACACGUCCUCUUUAUGAGCCUUAUUCUUUUUGGAACAUCAGAGAAUGCCACCGGAGGACAAACCCCACUCGACAAUGGUUCAGACGUGACACUGUAGGACUCCGAUUUUAACCCCCACAUUCUCAUCCCUUGUAUGUUCUCAGACCUGAGGAACCUGCUUCGCUCAUCUGCAUGGUUUGAUGAGUCUGACAUUUUCAAUGCUCAAGGAGCCUUUGACAAAUAAUCAGUCAGACCAGUUUAAGUGCGACUUCAAGUGUGAAGUUGUGCUUUUGACUUCAGACCAAGUGCUGCCGUUCUCUGUGGUUGACAGCAGCAAAGAAUGUAAGAAUCCAGGUCCCAACAUGAAGAAUGAUCUUGGCACGGCUGUGCAGUGAGACUGAGACGCAGACUCGCGAUGAUGGAGUUUUUAAGUACCUGACACGAAAAGGCCUUGGAAGCCGUCUCAGUGAAACAACCGCUGGCACAGACCAUGCUGCUCUCUGGCAUCGGGCCGGAGAGGCUUUCCACUCAUUUUCAGUGAAACGUGUGAUCGCAAUGAGGAGUUGAGGUGACAGUGAUGGGAGAGCUGAAGAUGGUGAAGGCCAGUCCAGUCCUUAGAUUUGACUGUUUCCCAGACAUCUCUGUGUGGACAUCUACAUCUAAAGUGUAGUACUCUUCCUCUAAAGGAAGGCAUGACACCAGUGAAUGCCACCAAGUGGUGGUGCAGAUUCAUGCUGCAAACAUCAGUCAUCCAUCCACCUCCGCCUCUGAUGGUGUCACAAGUUCUAGCCCAGGCUAGUGUUCUCUCAGAUCUGUUCUGUUGGGACCCGAUCUUGGCUGUUCUGCUGUCUGGUGCCAUCAAACAUCCGGUCUUCAGCCAGCCAAAGUUCAAGCACUUUAUCUUAAUGCUCACACACAUGAAUACUGGACGCAUCCCACGUAAUGGUCUUUUCUAUGGCUCCUCAGCAUCAACAGUCACAUGCUUGAUUGUUGACAUUGAAACAAACAGCUCCAGUCAAGCAACAUUUUCAGAUUAUCAGAGUGACUUGCCAUUUUGCCAGUGUGUUGUUUACUUCCUCUUCAACCACUCUGAACACGGGCUGGUUCCAUAGAAAGCACAGAGGUUCAGAGCGUUCCGAACAAUGCCAGUUUGAAAACAAGAACCAUGUCGGUGCGAAAGGCCUUGUAGUGGAUGUGAGGUUCUAUAAAUACUCUCACCGUUCGACCUGCUCGCAUGUUUCAACACCAUCCGUGUUGCUGUUUGCUUGUUUUUCCUACUUUCCUACUACUUUCUCUUGUGAAGGCUGUGAACCCAAAUGACGUGCGUGAAUGAGUUGCGUGUCAUUAUCUCUGUUUCAUUUGCUCGAGGACAGUUGUACUCCAGGUGACUUUGGGCAAGGCACUAGCUCAGAAAGGCCGACUGUCAGUCAGUCCGUCUUCGUACAGUAAACAAGUGAAGCGCUUGGUUUUGUUCUGUGGGAGCCCCGUGUGAGUGAAGCUGCUAACAGAUACAGUAUGAUGCAUCCUCAUCAAAGCUGGUGGUUUUUCGCGUUAUGUAAGUACGAACAAAAUGAAAAUAGUUGCUCCACGUCUGACACCUUUGAGUCACAUCCGCAAACAAACCGAGUUUGCAAUUGAAACUGUUGCGUUACGACCAGGUGUGUCUUUUGGAGAGAGGCAUUGGUGAAAUCAAACCUCUUCUUGCAAUUACUACCUGAAUAAAUAAGCAUUAAGUGGUUAUUUUUAUGUAUCUAUGUUGUAAAAUUGCAUUUGAAAUAUGGUCAGCAGCAGUUUAUUUGACAUCAGCCCAUCCAUUCCAGUCAUUUUCUUACAGACGUACGAAUAAACGAUUGCAUCGCCUCUUUGGUGGAGGUGUAUUGUACCGUUUCCCUUUUUUCCUUCAUCUAUUUUAGUUUAUUAUUCUGUUUUCCUUUUUUCUGUCUGUAUCAUUCUGUUUUCUAUUUUCUUUUAUUUAUUUUUUUCUGUUAUAUAACAAGCAUCACCAGCAAGAUAGCACAUAUUCACAAAAUCUGACAUGUUUGAAUGAAGCUAUUUUAAAGUGAAUUUCAUUAUCAUUUUACAGUUCUUUCAAACAUGAAAAAAAAUGGUGCAUAACUUGUUAUUGAAUUGAAGCUCCAGGUCUUUACUCCAGUGUCGUCCAGAACGUUUAAAAUAUAGUCUACAUAAAAAUUCUUCCAGGAAAAAGUUUCAGUGUAUUUAUAAGUUGUGGACAGUAGUAGUCGAGCAAUGGAUGAAACAAAAUUCUAAUUUAAGCAACAACUGAGGCUCACGACACAAAAGAACAGUUAUGGAUGCCAGAAUUCAAAAUAUUGAUAAUUUCUUUUUCCAUUUUAUUUCCUCAUAAAAUGGAUUCUAUUAAUGAGUACUGCUCAUUUUAGCAGUAAAUCUUGUCCCUCAAAAUGAAUAAAUUGACUAUGUUGAGGAAAAAAAUAACAACAUGCCUUCAGGUUUUAUUAUUUCCAUGUUUCUCCCCUUGUUCUGCUACCAAGAUCGUGUUUCCCCUGAAAAAGAUCUUCCCAUUUGUGUGAUUUAUUUUGAGUCUGAAAUGAAAUAGUAUACAAUGAAACAACAUAUUUAUAGCGUCGUCUAGUUAGACUCUUUGCAUUGCAUAAUAGAAAAGUUAUUAACAUCCAAAAAAUGCCUCCUAUUGUCUUUUGGUUUGAUGGAGACACUUGCUGUGGCAACCCCUGAUGAGAAGUGAAGCUUUGAUCUGAAUUGAAAUGAUCAAUUCACAAAAUGUUUAAGCUCUUUAAGUCCACUUGUGAACACAUGAUCAAUAUUUAUCGCAGCCUGGAUGCAUUAUACCGGAUGAUAGAAAUACAUAAGGCAUACCUGUGGAUACCUGCAGGCGCAGCAUACAUGCAUUGGCCUGUACAUAUUCAAUUGUGUGUCCUUGAAUACGCACACAUGCAUACAUUGUUUGAAAUAUAAAAGCAGUGACGCAGCAGUAGCUGUUAUACAACAUCCGAGCUUCCUGCCACCCAGUUACUUUGAAACAUAACUCCAAACUGGUUCCUGCUAUAUUUAGAAGUUGAGACUUCUGUGUCAUCAUGAGCAUGUGUUGAGAACGUGGCAUGUGUUCGUCAUUUGUAGUAGAAUACGCCGACAUCUUUGACAAGAUUGUGGUUUUGAAGUUCAAGUCCAACUGUCCCUCAGUGGUGUGUCUCAGUUUAGGAGAGUUUGUAGUGGAGCAUCGACGUUCAGGAGAGGACAUCAUCAUGUGGCAGAUUGUCUCAUGUCCCAGGGUUCGCAGGGUGAUUCAUGGCAAUCGUGAUCUUAGAAUCUUCAAGACAAGGAAGACGAUGAAAAUCUAAUGACUCACCUCCUCGUGUUUGUGCGAUGACUUGGACGUUAAUCACAUUUUAAGAAUCUACAUGUGAAUUCCAGGGAUUCUUAGCGUCUCGUUCAAUAUUUGCUCCCCUAUUUUAGACUAGGCAGCACACUCAUAUAUCAGGGAACUUUGACCUAUUUCGACUGAACACUGGUGAAGCUCUCCAGUGUUUUCACUGCUGAGAGUGAGGAGGCAGCUGGAUGCUGAAGGACACCUGCUCAGGUUCACCUGCCAUCUCCUCCGGGGGACCUGAGGCGGCGUCAUCUCUCGGCCAGGUUUUCAUGCGACGCCCCGUACAGUUGGGAGUGCUGCUUUCAGACCCACAGUCCGACGUCAGAAGCCGCAGCUGGCGGCACCGCCCCAUCUUUCCGUGCACACGGUCUCAUUGUUUGGGCUUUUGAAGUGCAGAAUUCCAGUCGAGUCGCUGGGAUUCCUUGCUGUGUAAUGGGCCAUUAUGUUGGAACCCUAUUCAAUAGAUGAUGAGUUUGUGUCUCGAGGGAAUUGAGUCGUGUGUGUGGGUGUGUGUGUGGCUGAAAGGAAGGCAGGUGAAGUGCUCAGUGUCCUGUGUGUCGUGUGACACGGCUCCACACAUGGAGCAGUGCUCUUCCUUUACAGGGCAAACGUGGUUCAUAUAAGGUUGGAGAGGCUGCUGUUGACUGGUCAGAUGGCUGAGUAAGACCAGUGACCUUUGGGGUAAAAAGGCUGGGUUCAAGCUCAAAUGAGUGGAAUCUAGAGCGCCACUACAUCCCUGACUCAUCGGAAGUGACAAGGAGCCCAAGAAGUCCUCCUGAAUGUGCAUGUUUUUGCGACGAUUUGUACAAGUUCUGAAGAAAUCACCAGGUGUUCCAAAAACAGUCCACCCCACUAGUGCUGACGAAACUGAAGAGCGUUCCUAGAAUCAGGAGUCCUAUUUUGGCUAGACGUAUUUUCAGAAUGGUGAUCCUGUUUGACUGGAUUUUUUUUUUUUUUUGGUGUUGGAGUCAGUUUGAAGUAGGAACUCCCUUAUCUCUCUGCCAGGCAAUACACCAUUCUGAGCUUGCCUUCAAGAGCCUGUCCAUUUCUCUGGAGUUGCAUAAUGAGAAGCUUUCUGGCUCUCUGUUGGUUAGUUGGUGGCACUGACUCGGUUUUAUCCGGUCACAUUUGGCCCCAGAGUUGUAGUUGAGAUGACCAAACUUGAGACCAAGCGCAAACCCAAGACUUUUUCCAGCCUGAGACAGAGACCAAAACUGAAACUGAUGAUAAUAUACAGAGACAUAAGACACAAUGACUCGCCGCAAAGAAAAAGCUUGUCAUUUAUUCCAACUAAAUGAUGUUUUCAGGGGUCUUGGACUGGGUCUCCACCACAGAACCUUUUGGCUCUCACCAAACUUGCUUCACUGAGAGCGCCGUUUCCAGUUUGCAACACAAUAUAAGUCAUUCUUGUGUAAGAUGUUUCUGUGUUAAGCUUAUUAGAGAAGCCUGGCCUGAACUUGUUUUCAAUAAUCUCAAUUCAGAUUGUACAGUUCCAGACGGUAAACAACUUCAGCUUCACUCCGCGCCGUCGCCAUGAUCAUAAUUUUCCCGACACACAAGGAAACAGCCGCGCUUGGCGUGUUUGCGAAGCGGGCUGGAUAGAUAAGACUUUUCCAGGCAAUUGACUGCGGGUUGUUGCGCUCUGCCACCUCCUGCGACGCCGCGUUGAUUGAUGAGUGCAGGUUUCUGGUGUUUGAACUGGGCCCAAGAGCAACUUGUCUGACACUCUUUUAUGUAAAGUAGGGCAGGUCGCUGCCACGCUCAGGACGUUUCACCUCUGAAGGGAGUUGAGACACAGGCACGACAUUCAGUGGUACGCUAGACGGCUGUCUUUACUUUAGAGGAGGCUCAUGGGAUACCAAAGGUACCGAAGGUAUGGACGGACGUUGUAUUUUGAGGAACAACAAAAACACAAAAAUGGCUGCACUUUGUCCUCAUGGCACCUGGUUUGUCUGAAAGAUCAAACCAUGAUAGUCUGGCGGGUCUUUUGGUGUUGGGUGAAAACUAAUAUUAAGGCCAACAUUGUUCUUUCAUUAAGUCCAGGUGAAAAAUCCAUUGUUAUUAAUAAUAAAAAAGAACUUAUUGAGGAGGCCUGUGUAGGCAAGAAGCAACUAUCAAUGACUGCAACUUGAAGAGAAACGAUUCAAAGAGUCUCAGCAAUUAUAAUAUUAAGUUUUAAGUUUUUUUCUUUUUUUGGAAGUGUAUUACAGUGCACUGCCUCGGUUAUUCACGCUCACGUCGUUGACAUGUCACUUUUAUUUAUUUAUUCAUUUAUUAUUUCCCCCAUCGGCUUAAAAGCUUGGAGAUUUCACUCGCGUUUUAAUUUUAAGUUUAUACCAAGCCAUCUUAGUCUACAGUGGAACUGGUUCUUCUUUCAGUCCUGCUAGGUAGUGAGACCUACCAGGACUGAGACUCAAUUGUUUUGCCUGUGUCUCCCAUUAUCAUUAUAAGUCUGUCUGAUACUGUAUAUCAAGGAGGCUAAUUGUGAACUGCGGUCUGGCGAGGAAUAACUAUACUUGAAAACUAGACUAUUGAGAAAAGAAUUAGCAUUGUGUUGACGAGUGUGACAUGAAGAAAAUGAUAAGCAAUCUGGGAUGGGAAAAUGGGGGAAGAAAACAUGGAAAAAGUACAAAAAAGACAGAAAAAAGGGGGGAAACCAACCUUCAUGCCAUUUUUAUAUUUCAGAAAUUUGGGCUUUAAAGUGAUAUUUAACUUUUUUUGUCUGUCUGUUUCCAUUGGCUUAAAACCUGGACUACUUCACUAACAGAUUUUUUUUUGUUUGUUGUUAUUUACCCAGCCGUCCUAGUCCACUGUGAAACUGGUUCUCUUUAAGUGCUGCUAUGUGGUGUGACUCAUCUUUUUAAGCCUCUAAUCUAAUGAUCUAAGGAAGUUCCCGCGUUAUUAAUCUUAA